CAUCCAUUUGCUGUCUACUUAAUUUACACACACUCUACUUAAUUUAAACUGAAUGUAAUUGAUGUAACGCAUCUAAUACUAAGUUUCAACAACGGAUCUCUUGGCUCUCGCAUCGAUGAAGAACGCAGCGAAAUGCGAUAAGUAAUGUGAAUUGCAGAAUUCAGUGAAUCAUCGAAUCUUUGAACGCACCUUGCGCUCCUUGGUAUUCCUUGGAGCAUGCCUGUUUGAGUAUCAUGAAAUCUUCAAAGUAAACCUUUUGUUAAUUCAAUUGGUCUUUUUUACUUUGGUUUUGGAGGAUCUUAUUGCAGCUUCACACCUGCUCCUCUUUGUGCAUUAGCUGGAUCUCAGUGUUAUGCUUGGUUCCACUCGGCGUGAUAAGUUAUCUAUCGCUGAGGACACCCGUAAAAAAGGUGGCCAAGGUAAAUGCAGAUGAACCGCUUCUAAUAGUCCAUUGACUUGGACAAUAUUCUAUUUUAUGAUCUGAUCUCAAAUCAGGUA
rnacentral:rRNA from 1 species